GCCGCUUCUUCGCUGCCACUGCUACAGCCGUGGCUGGUCACCGCAGCCAUCGCGUCAUCUGUCGCCACCGGGGAACCCUUUCUGUUUUUCUCCUUCCCGGUGAGCUCUUGCUGUUGUUGACCCGAUCUGUUGCUGCUGUGUGAUUUGGUUCCUGCUGCUGCUGCUUCUGCUAACCUUUCCUUGCCGGUGCUGUUGUUGCUCCUAAUGCAUGGCCUGCUGCUGUUGCUGCUGCAGCGAAUCAGAGAGAAGGGUCUACAGAGGUUGUACAGGAGGAAGAAAGAAAGGAAAAGGCAGAGCAACAUUGAGGAAUUUCAGCGAUUUCGCAAAUUAGGGAAAUUUGUCGCAAGGUAGUGUUCCUCCUCUGCAAGGGUAACUUCCUUUUAGUCCCUAGACAUAAAAGAUUCAGAUAGAAAUUGAUUCGGUAGCUGUUUGUGCAAAUUUUGAAGUUCUUGAUUAUAGGCUCGAAACCGUAUUUUUUCAAAUCUGGUAUGAAACGAUCGGGAUUCAGGUUAGGAGUCCUAAAUAAAGUUUGUAGUCGUCAUCAAUAUCUUUCUAUUGGUUCUUGUUUCGAAUGAUUUCAAUAAACGGUUUAGAAGAAAGAACAAAAACAGUACUGCUGACCAGGCCUGUUUUAGUAGGGACAGUAAUUAGUUUUCUUAAUCUGAGACCUACAUAAGCUUAACCCGAUUUUUUCGCCCAACAUGAAAGUUGGAGACAAUUUUUUCUAAAUGACUGAAGUUGUAUUAUUAUCCAGACUCCCUUAGACGAUUUGCGAGUUAUGAGCAAUAAAAGAACUACUAUAGGUUGUUUAAUACAAACCCAUAAAAAAGUUUAUAUGUUAUAAGUUUUGAUUUUAGUAAAUAUCCCUUGUAACUAUCAUUAGUUGAAUAUAAUUUUACCACAUAGGUGUGGAGAGAUCUAGUGUGGAACGUGGUUUGUCAGGUUACCGUCAAGGUUAAAGGCAAGUGCAUGACGAACUAAUUGUGUGAUUCAUGGAUUGUUUGCUCUAUAUAUUUAUUUCCAAUAUAUUUCUAUGUGAUUUGUGACUGCUUAGGUUCAGAUUAUUGUUCAUGCCAUUUAGAUUUCAAGUUUAUCUUAUGUUUACGAAGUUAUUCUUGUUUCAGUAUUCCGGAUUUUGGUUUUGGGUAAAUAAUUCAAGUUCCAUGCUUACCAUGGAUGUGUAAUAUGGCUUAAAUUUGGUUCUUUGUUUCCGGUUUCAAUCAUUCGUGUUCCAUGUGAGUCAUGGAUGUGCUAUCCGGAUUUUUAUUCAUGUUCCUAUGGGUAAGCGUUGAUCACGCUUACUCGGCUUUGCCUCCAAAUGCUAGGAUGUAUUCACAAUUGUCCGGGAUAGAAACUACUAUUUUCUUUAACUUGGUAUUUGAAAUGUGUUUUUUUUCAAACAAAGAAAGUUUUCCGUUCAGACUUUAUUGCCAAUGAUGUGUAUGCGUGUUUUCUAGUUCCACAUUGUACUUGUUGAGUAUUUCCGUACUCACUCUUGUGUUUAUUUGGUUUUAGGUACACCUGAGAUCGGAAUGCAUGGGGGAAGUAGCACCCUUAUAUACACAUCUAUCAUCACACUAUCAAACUAUAUUGCAUAAUGACACUUGAACUAUAUCCUGGUUUGGUAUUGUAAUAAUCUUUUAGAUUUCUAUUAGUUCUUUUCCAUGGAUUAUAUGGAUGGAUAGCACUGUGGGAAUGAUAUUAUUAUUAGUUUAAUUUAUUACUACAUGUUCUUUUCCAUGGAUUAUAUGGAUGGAUAGCGUUGUGGGAA
rnacentral:lncRNA from 1 species